rnacentral:rRNA from 1 species
UGGGGAAUAUUGCACAAUGGGCGAAAGCCUGAUGCAGCAACGCCGCGUGAGUGAUGAAGGUCUUCGGAUUGUAAAGCUCUGUCUUUUGGGACGAUAAUGACGGUACCAAAGGAGGAAGCCACGGCUAACUACGUGCCAGCAGCCGCGGUAAUACGUAGGUGGCGAGCGUUGUCCGGAUUUACUGGGCGUAAAGGGUGCGUAGGCGGAUGUUUAAGUGAGAUGUGAAAUACCCGGGCUUAACUUGGGUGCUGCAUUUCAAACUGGAUAUCUAGAGUGCAGGAGAGGAGAAUGGAAUUCCUAGUGUAGCGGUGAGAUGCGUAGAGAUUAGGAAGAACACCAGUGGCGAAGGCGAUUCUCUGGACUGUAACUGACGCUGAGGCACGAAAGCGUGGGUAGCAAACAGGAUUAGAUACCCUGGUAGUCCACGCCGUAAACGAUGAGUACUAGGUGUAGGAGGUAUCGACCCCUUCUGUGCCGCAGUAAAC